rnacentral:lncRNA from 1 species
AUUUUUUGUGUCUUUAACAACAGACUUCGAGGCUGAAAAUCUAAUAAUUUUGUAUAAUUAUUUCACCCCAGGACAUCUCUAUAAUAAUUAUCUAAGUGACUGAAGAAUCAAAGUGACAAAUGAAAAGACCAAAGGAUGAGCCAAGUUUGCUGAUGAUGGGACCAUCUAGUUGCAAGAAAACCAGCCCAGGGCUCCCACUGAUUCUACAUUAGGAUUUUUAACUAUUAGGAAACAAAAGUAAAUCAGAAGGAGCCA